AGAGUUUGAUCCUGGCUCAGAAUCAACGCUGGCGGCGCGCCUAACACAUGCAAGUCGAACGGGAAAGUGGGCAACCAUGAGUACAGUGGCGUACGGGUGAGUAACACGUGGGUAAUCUACCUCUUAGUGGGGAAUAACCCUGGGAAACCGGGGCUAAUACCGCAUAAGCUCGAGAGAGGAAAGCAGCAAUGCGCUGAGAGAGGAGCCCGCGGCCGAUUAGCCAGUUGGUGGGGUAAAAGCCCACCAAAGCAAAGAUCGGUAGCCGGCCUGAGAGGGCACACGGCCACACUGGCACUGAAACACGGGCCAGACUCCUACGGGAGGCAGCAGUGGGGAAUCUUGCACAAUGGGGGAAACCCUGAUGCAGCGACGCCGCGUGAGCGAUGAAGCCCUUCGGGGUGUAAAGCUCUUUCGUCAGGGAAGAUUAUGACGGUACCUGGAGAAGCAGCUGCGGCUAACUACGUGCCAGCAGCCGCGGUAAUACGUAGGCAGCAAGCGUUGUUCGGAGUUACUGGGCGUAAAGGGUGUGUAGGCGGCCUUUUAAGUUUGGUGUGAAAUCUCCCGGCUUAACUGGGAGGGUGCGCCGAAUACUGAAGGGCUAGAGUGCGGGAGAGGAGAGUGGAAUUCCUGGUGUAGCGGUGAAAUGCGUAGAUAUCAGGAGGAACACCGGUGGUGUAGACGGCUCUCUGGACCGUAACUGACGCUGAAACACGAAAGCGUGGGUAGCAAACAGGAUUAGAUACCCUGGUAGUCCACGCCCUAAACGAUGCAUAUUUGGUGUGGGUCAUUCAGUUGAUCCGUGCCGGAGCUAACGCGUUAAAUAUGCCGCCUGGGGAGUACAGUCGCAAGGCUGAAACUCAAGGAAUUGACGGGGGCCCGCACAAGCGGUGGGAGCAUGUGGUUCAAUUCGACGCAACGCGAAGAACCUUACCUGGGCCUCGAACGGCUGGUCAAC
rnacentral:rRNA from 1 species